rnacentral:rRNA from 1 species
AUGAGAGCGGCGGUUCGCACGAAGCGGCCGCGGCGGCCACCGCCGGCGGCGACGGCACAGCUGGCUUCCAGUUCCAGGCCGAAGCUGGAGAAGGCGCAGGUCCCUCUAACCCUCCCGCUGAAAUCCUUCAAGUUCCGUCUGGCCAACGGCCCGCCGCUCGCGCCCACGCCCAAGGCAUUCAAGUCCUACGCCGAGACCUGCGCCACCCUCCUCCGCCUCUGCCGCGCCGCCGCCACCGCCACCAGCCAUGCCGCGCCUGCUUCCUCCUCGCCCUCCUCCGACCGCCUGCCGCUCGCCCUCUCGCUGCACGCGCACGCCGUGCGCUCUGGCGUCGCCGCCGACCGCUCCGUGGCCUCGCACCUCCUCACCACCUACGCCGCCUUUGCUCGCGCCGCGGAGCGCGAUCGUGCCUUCGGGGACUGCGUUGCCGCGGACGCCGCCUCCCCCUUCGCGUACGACUUCAUGGUGUCCGAGCACGUCAAGGCCGGGGACAUUGCCUCCGCUCGCAGGCUGUUCGACGGAAUGCCCGAUAGGACCGUCGUGUCGUACACUACCAUGGUGGACGCGUUGAUGAAGCGCGGGCGUGUGGCAGAGGCCGUCGAGCUUUAUGAGCAGUGCCCGUCUGGCUCCGUGGCCUUCUUUACGGCAACGAUUUCUGGUUUUGUCCGCAAUGAGCUCCACCACAAUGCUCUUGGCGUCUUUCGUAAAAUGCUCAGCUGCAGGGUGAGGCCUAAUGGUAUCACCAUUGUGUGCAUGAUCAAGGCAUGCGUUGGUGCAGGUGAAUUUGGUCUGGCUUUGUCGAUCGUGGGGUUGGCCAUUAAAUCAAACUUCUUUGAGAGCAGCAUCGAGGUACAAAAUUCUUUGAUCACGCUGUAUCUAAGAAUGGGAGAUGCAGCUGCAGCCCGUAAGGUGUUUGAUGAGAUGGACGUGAAGGAUGUGGUCUCGUGGACUGCACUGCUUGAUGUGUACUCUGAGUCGGGUGAUCUUGAUGGAGCUCGACGGGUUCUUGAUGCAAUGCCUGAGAGGAAUGAGGUCUCCUGGGGUACUUUGAUUGCUAGGCAUGAGCAGAGAGGCAAUGCGGCAGAAGCGGUGAAGCUGUACAGUCAAAUGCUGGCUGAUGGUUGUAGGCCAAACAUUUCAUGCUUCUCUAGUGUGCUCAGUGCCUGUGCUAGUCUUGAGGACUUGCGAGGAGGAGCGAGGAUCCAUGCCCGUAGCCUAAAGAUGGGCUCUAGCACCAAUGUGUUCGUAUCCUGCUCUCUGAUUGACAUGUACUGCAAAUGCAACAAGUGUGGAGAUGCGCAAACGAUUUUUGACACCCUCCCACAAAAGAACAUAGUGUGCUGGAACUCUCUCGUUUCAGGUUAUAGCUACAACGGGAAAAUGGUAGAAGCUAUGUAUCUCUUCAAGAAGAUGCCUGCAAGGAAUUUAGCUUCAUGGAAUACGAUUAUCUCUGGUUACGCGCAGAAUCGACAAUUUGUUGACGCGCUAAAAUCUUUCAAUGCAAUGUUGGCUUCGGGUCAGGUUCCAGGGGAAAUUACAUUCUCGAGCGUUCUUCUUGCUUGUGCAAACUUGUGCUCUUUAGUCACGGGUAAGAUGGCUCAUGCUAAGACUAUCAAGCUAGGAAUCGAGGAAAGCAUUUUUAUCGGCACUGCACUUAGUGACAUGUAUGCCAAGUCAGGGGAUUUACAGAGCUCCAAGAGGAUGUUUUAUCAAAUGCCUGAAAGAAAUGAUGUCACUUGGACUGCCAUGAUUCAAGGACUUGCUGAAAAUGGUUUUGCGGAGGAAUCUAUUCUUUUAUUUGAGGAUAUGAUGGCAACUGGAAUGACACCAAACGAGCAUACAUUUUUAGCUCUUCUAUUUGCUUGUUCCCACGGUGGUUUGGUGGAGCAAGCCAUACAUUAUUUUGACAAAAUGCAGGCAUUGGGUAUUUCACCUAAAGAGAAGCACUAUACUUGUAUGGUUGAUGUCCUAGCUCGAGCUGGUCGUUUGGCAGAGGCAGAAGCUCUGCUGAUGAAAACCCCAAGUAAAUCAGAAGCAAAUUCAUGGGCUGCCCUUCUGAGCGCUUGCAACACUUACAGGAAUGAGGAGAUUGCUGAGAGGGCUGCAAAGCGGCUUCAUGAGUUGGCGAAGGAUAAUACAGCAGGCUAUGUGCUACUCUCGAAUAUGUAUGCAUCAUGUGGAAGGUGGAAAGAUGCUGCCAGGAUAAGGGUACUGAUGAAAGGGACCACACUCAAGAAAGAUGGAGGGUGUAGCUGGGUUCAAGUAAGAGGUCAAUAUCACGCCUUCUUUUCUUGGGAAGCAAAGCAUCCACUGUCAAUGGAAAUCGAUGAGAUCUUGGAUUUACUAAUGUGGGAAUCGUCUCUUUGA